rnacentral:lncRNA from 10 species
GUGAAAAUCUCUGUAUCUUAUGAUAACACCCACCAGAGAGCAAUUGCCAUGUAGGAGGAACCAAACGACGAGCUGGACAGAAGGACAAGCCAGGUGGCAUCAGCCAGCCUCUGAUACUGGCGACCCCAGUGCUGGCAUGCAAGGAAGAAGAUAGACAAAAACACCAGAGGAGCUGCUCCCAGAUGGAGUGGACUUGCCAUACAAAGCAAGAGAGUCCCAGCAGGGCAGGGAUCUGUAGUGGAUGGUGAUGCAGCACCCAGGAAACCUCAUCAGGAUGUAGCUACUCCUUCUCCCACUGCGGGUGGUACCAGCUGCUGAAGGCUCACAGCUGAGACUCUCUAAGGAAAGGGGACACAUAGCCCAGGUGAUGCCCACUCUCCAGGGACAGCCUGCACCAGUGACUAGACGCAGGAGGAAGAUGCCCACUGCCUGGCUUCUAUUUGUGAUGGCCUCUGAAGGGCUAUCUCAGAUCCACUGCUGCCUUUGGGGGAAUGGAGGUCCUUGUGGAGACCACAUUCCACCUGAAAUGCCUCUGCCCAAUCCUGCUUUCCUGACUUAUGGUUGUUGUUCCCAAGAAAACACCCUCAUAAAUCAUUUCCAGGGAACCCAACUGAAGCCAUAAAUCCCUCCAGAAAAAAAUCUCCAAGGGGAGUCUCCCUGCAACUCAUGGGAUUGAAUUGGGCCCUAUGCCCAUCCCUUAAUCAAUGACCCACAAAGAAAGUGAAUUUUCAUGCUGUCAUCUGCCGGAAUGUUGGGAAGUCCGUGACCAGCACAUUGACCUCUCCAGCGACGCCCCCAGAGCUGCAGCAUCACAGGAGUGGGAUGGACCGUGUCGGCUCCUCUGGAUCUUUUGUGGCACUGAGCAGGGGAAUGCAUUGCAUGCCAUCCUGGGCACCCGCUUCCCAGAGGAACAGAGCAGCUGCUGCUGGUCAAUGUCUACCAUGAGGCUUGCAUCUGCCAGGCCCCUGUGCAUGCGAACCAAAGCAUGUACGAGUGUGCAUAUUUAAACUUCUCAAGGUUAGAGUCACUCUGUGUAAGAAUAAACCUCAAAUAUUUAAUGCUUGUCUUUAAAAAAUUAAAAAGAAAAAAAGAAUUCAGGACUUGGGGCUUCUUAAAGAACUUUAACAAGAUAAAGUUCUCAAUGAAAACUUUAGUGUCAUGACAGAAUUUUAAAAGCACAAAGCUGGAGGAGUUGCUGUUGCUUAUGGUGCAGCAAAAGCCCCACUCUGUGUACUCUGAAACUUUAGUUCAGAGGAUGUAGCAGGAGUUUUAGAAAAGUAAAAGGUGAGUAUGUGUGGUCAAAUACGUUAGAUCAUGCAGAAUAACAAGGAUAAAUAGGCUUCUUUGCUUGGGUCCUCCGAGAGCAUCUUCCCCCCAUAUUUCACAAACAGCCUGGGAGAAGCUGCCCGCAUGACCUCGGAGAACCUCUUAGAAUGAAGGUUGUAUUUCCUUCUUAUUUGCACGUGGACUGGUGCAGGCUGUUCCUGUGGUACUCACUGCAGUGCCCAGCAUGCCAGCUGUCAUGUCAUGUCAUGUCCUCAUGCGAUUAGAAGAAUUCCAGUGUUACACAAACAUGUAUGGAAUAUUUCCUGUCACUGAACAAGUUUUCUGCUCUAGGGGUUUGUUUCUCUUUCUGAGUCAGGAAUCAGAAUUCAAAGAUGGUUCAUUGAAUUGUCUGCCCACUGGUAUCUGCUACGAAGGAAAGGAGAAAUGGGUCUGAGUCAUGUGAGGCAUCACGACUUCUGUCAACUUUAUUUUAUUAACCUUGAAAACCGAGCUCUCACAUGUCAGUAAUAAACUUUUCCCUGAAUGUUU